GGGCCCGCACAAGCGGUGGAGCAUGUGGUUUAAUUUGAUGCAACGCGAAGAACCUUACCAGGACUUGACAUACCAUAGACAUUUUUAUGAACAUAAUUAUUUCCUUCGGGACUAUGGAUACAGGUGGUGCAUGGCUGUCGUCAGCUCGUGUCGUGAGAUGUUGGGUUAAGUCCCGCAACGAGCGCAACCCUUGUCUUUUGUUACCCCUAUCGAGAGAUAGGGGGAAUCGAAAGAGACUGCCGGUCAUAAACCGGAGGAAGGUGAGGAUGACGUCAAGUCAGCAUGCCCCUUACGUUCUGGGCCACACACGUGCUACAAUGGGUAAGACAAUAAGUAGCUAACCUGCGAAGGUGCGCAAAUCUAAGAAACUUAUCCUCAGUUCGGAUUGGAGGCUGCAACUCGCCUCCAUGAAGUCGGAAUCGCUAGUAAUCG
rnacentral:rRNA from 1 species